UUCCAGACUCCUACGGGAGGCAGCAGUGAGGAAUAUUGGUCAAUGGGCGAGAGCCUGAACCAGCCAAGUCGCGUGAGGGGGUACUGCCCUAUGGGUUGUAAACCUCUUUUGUCGGGGAGCAAAAGCCGGACGUGUCCGGCUGUGAGAGUACCCGAAGAAAAAGCAUCGGCUAACUCCGUGCCAGCAGCCGCGGUAAUACGGAGGAUGCGAGCGUUAUCCGGAUUUAUUGGGUUUAAAGGGUGCGUAGGCGGACUGGAAAGUCAGCGGUAAAAUCGAGAGGCUCAACCUCUUUCCGCCGUUGAAACUGUCGGUCUUGAGUGGGCGAGAAGUAUGCGGAAUGCGUGGUGUAGCGGUGAAAUGCAUAGAUAUCACGCAGAACUCCGAUUGCGAAGGCAGCAUACCGGCGCCCGACUGACGCUGAGGCACGAAAGCGUGGGUAUCGAACAGGAUUAGAUACCCCCGUAGU
rnacentral:rRNA from 1 species